rnacentral:rRNA from 1 species
UACGGAGGGGGCUAGCGUUGUUCGGAAUUACUGGGCGCAAAGCGCACGUAGGCGGAUUGUUAAGUCGGGGGUGAAAUCCCGGGGCUCAACCCCGGAAUGGCCUCCGAUACUGGCAAUCUUGAGGACGGGAGAGGUGAGUGGAAUGGCGAGUGUAGAGGUGAAAUUCGUAGAUAUUCGCCGGAACCCCAGUGGCGAAGGCGGCUCACUGGCCCGAUACUGACGCUGAGGUGCGACAGCGUGGGGAGCAAACAGG